rnacentral:rRNA from 1 species
GACGAACGCUGGCGGCGUGCUUAACACAUGCAAGUCGAACGGAAAGGCCCUGCUUUUGUGGGGUGCUCGAGUGGCGAACGGGUGAGUAACACGUGAGUAACCUGCCCUUGACUUUGGGAUAACUUCAGGAAACUGGGGCUAAUACCGGAUAGGAGCUCCUGCUGCAUGGUGGGGGUUGGAAAGUUUCGGCGGUUGGGGAUGGACUGGCGGCUUAUCAGCUUGUUGGUGGGGUAGUGGCUUACCAAGGCUUUGACGGGUAGCCGGCCUGGGAGGGUGACCGGCGACAUUGGGACUGAGAUACGGCCCAGACUCCUACGGGAGGCAGCAGGGGGGAAUAUUGCACAAUGGGCGGAAGCCUGAUGCAGCAACGCCGCGUGCGGGAUGACGGCCUUCGGGUUGUAAACCGCUUUCGCCUGUGACGAAGCGUGAGUGACGGUAAUGGGUAAAGAAGCACCGGCUAACUACGUG